rnacentral:rRNA from 1 species
GACAGAGGGUGCAAACGUUGUUCGGAAUUACUGGGCGUAAAGCGCGUGUAGGCUGCCCCGAAAGUCAGGUGUGAAAGCCCUGGGCUCAACCCAGGAAGUGCACUUGAAACUUCGGUGGCUUGAGUUCUGGAGAGGAUGGCGGAAUUCUCGGUGUAGAGGUGAAAUUCGUAGAUAUCGAGAGGAACACCGGUGGCGAAGGCGGCAUUCUGGACCGACAUUGACGCUGAGGAGCGAAAGCCAGGGGAGCAAACGGG